rnacentral:tRNA from 3 species
GCGAGCGUGGUGAAAUUGGUAGACACGCCAGACUUAGGAUCUGGUGCCGCAAGGUUUGAGAGUUCGAGUCUCUCCGCUCGCACCA